AGUAACUUACUGUUUUAAGAUCUGAAAUGAUGAAAAGAAAGAAAAUAAGGCAGAGGAGGGACGAGGGACGAGGAGAUGAUGGGGUUGAUGAUACAGAUGCAGUCCGGGCUUCGGGGAAACGUACCAUCUGAGAAAGGAUGGCUUCUACGUCCUUGAGAAAGAACUAGAGAGAAAAGUGGAUCAGACUAAGUGAAGAAGAGCAGAAGGAGGGAGAUGAGGUUUGGCAGGAAGGAGGGGACGGCAGUGCAGGGCCUUGUGAGUUACCAUCAGAACUCUGGCUUUGAGCAGAAAACAUGGGGGGUAGCCUUUGGUAACUCAGAACAGAAAGGUAGCACAGCUGUACUUGCCCUCAGCACCUUAUUCCCACCAACUACGACCUUAAAACACCGGGAUUCAGUUCAAACCACACAGCUAUAUGAAGUCCAGACAAACCAUGGUAGAGUUUGAAUGGAAAGAAGUCACCCGUGAGACCUGGAACAACGCAUGACAGCAAACGCCUAUGACUCCGGACUGAAGAUGGAGCUCAGUGGUACAACAUUUGCCCUGCAUUCACAAGGGCAUAGGUUCAAUCUCUGGUACUGAAUCAAAAAGGAUAGCCUCUCUCAAAGAAGAUGCCGGGUGUUACAGGGAAGAAGAGGAAACAGAAAUCGAAUGCAUCUUGGGAAUAAAAUGGGAUUGCUUUUCUA